CCCGCGUGCCCCAGCGGCUGCCUGUGCGGGAGACAAUGAGGUCUAGCCCGUCCCCAUCCGCUGAGUGAGAGAACGCCCUUGAACUAGCCUGAGCAGGAGCAGCUGCUUCACGGAAGUCAGAGCAUGCGCGAAGGGGAAGCAGGGUCACAGAAGAACUGCAGCUUCCGGGGCAGCAGCUUCACCUCCACGGGCAUCGCCUCGUACUCCUCACUGUCGAUGCUGAAGGAGCCCCCCGUGCCCUGCGGAGGAGACAGCGUUCAGAGGGCCACACGCACACGGGGUCGUGCUCCCCGCCGUCCUCUCGGCGGCCCGAGUCUCUGUCCCUCUAAGUCACUGGUUCUGGAAACAUCCCAUCCACGAAAAAGGUUUUGUUAUUUCUCUGACCUCUUAUCUCCUACCAGAAUGUUGGGGUACUUGAGAAGCAAGGUUAUAAUUUUCAAAUAUGUAUUAAAAGACAGGGGUCCUGCCACAUCUUUGAGGAAGGAAUUCAUACACGUAACGCAUUGCAGGUCCUUCCCAAUGAGAAAGACCGCACAUCCUCUUAGGCAAGCCAGGAUGGCCACCUGACUGUGUCUAAGGUUCUUCCCCAGGACGCGCUCAGCUCUCCAUGCAGGCAGAGCACACACCCCUGCAGAGCCUGUAAAACUUGGCCGGAACUUGUGCCUUUAAUGCGGCACGUCCAUGUUGAGACUCCGGUGCCACCCCUGUGGGGGCACCGAGGUCCUUGCUGCAUACGGUGACACAGUGGCCGUGAGUGAGCAGAGGUGACCCAGAGUAACUCUGUCCCUGAGGUACUGCUAAUAGAAUAACUAACCUCAUACAUGAGAUGCUAUUUCCAACUUUCCCACUGAUACAGGUUGUUCUUCUAGGCCUGGCGUUUCACAGCCCAGGAAAAGGGAGCGCCAUUCUGAAAACCGCUCCCAGAUCUUUCACAACGAGUGUGAAGGUGGAGUCCACCGUUAGCAUUUGAGGAUUUUCUGUGUGAUAAUAUAGGAACUCUGCGUAAUUUACAUCUGGGGCUGGGGGAGCUUAGGAGACCCAAAGCCCACUUUAGAGAACCCUGGCUUAAAAACAUUGGGUCCCAUCAUCUCUCGGGUAUGCUUCCUCUGACCCAGAGGCUGGCAGCGUGCUCAGCACGUCUGAGGUGCCUCAUUGAGGGCCUGUUACUGGAGAGGAGGGGGGCGAACAGAGAGAGAGAGACCGGGAAAGACCCGAGAGCGGCGGGACAGCCCCGCCCGCUUACCUCGGGCAGCAGCAGGGCGCACUGGCUGGCUUGGAGACACUCGGUGCCCUCGGCACGCAGCUUGGGGUCUCGCACCUUUUUGCUUCUGUUAGCAGAGGAAAAAGCAGGUUUGUAAACCAGCACCGGCCAUGGCAUUGGGCUGCAAGAACAUGGCAAGUUCUUUCUGUUUCUGAUGAGGUUAAGCAGAGGGCCCCCGAUCCACUGAACAGCGUGGGGACCUGUGCGUAAUUUUUCCCACGAGGACCCUCGCUCGGCACUGGGCCACGUGCCAGAGGGAGGGGCCGACGUGCUGGCGAGAGCGGUGCCUGGAGUCGGGACUGCCUGGUUUUACGUCGUCCACACGGGCCCAGUUCUUGGGCUGUUAAAGACCCCACAUUUAACAGAAUGAAAUUAAAUCCUUUAGAAGUACUAAGCUUUUGUUAUUUGGUGGCACUUGGGAGUGAGUCAACUCUUGGAGAAACUUAUCUCAGUGUAAGGCAGAGGUUUCUUUUUCACGCGUGAAGCACCAGUUUCACACGAGGCUCCCUGCCGACUCGCCACGGCAACGGCCUGCUUGGCGCAGCACGUGCUUGCCCUCGCUGAUGGCCCUGGCGUAGCACUGGUGGAGUAACUACCCACACACAGCGCCCCCUCACUGCUGGUCGCGGGAAGUACAGGAAGGGCAAAAGCUAAUCCAAGUUAGCCCGUUCUUUUUCAAUGAUUGACAACAGUAAUUCAUCGGUGAAACCUCAUCUGUUUUCUAAAGCAGCUUCUCAGUGGGCCUUCAGAUACCCAGAGGAGCCAUCACCUGACUUCGCUUCCUGGAGAGACCAAAGGGGACCAUGUCACUGCUGCCGAUGCUCAAAAUAACGAGGAACGUGAUAACUUCACUUACGCACCACGACCGGUUUUCUAUUUUUGGAUGUCAGAAUUACAAAGGAGCCCGGGGUGGAGCGGGCCCCACUAGUCGGACUCCCAGUUGAGACGGUGAGAGGCGUCUGCACACUGUUCCGAGGAGGGGGCGUGUUUCCCCUCCCACCUCCUGCAGACACGGCAAACAAACCAGUGGCUGCAGGAGCAGCUGUUCAGCAUCUAAGAAUCUGUACCCGGCAAACACACCACAAACGAGUGACAGACAGUGUAGUGAGGGUGCUGGUGCAGACAAUGAGGUCGCCAUGGAGACUCGCCUCCCCAGCGAAGAUGUUUAACCUUGCAGUGGGCACGAGGGGGAGCUCUGAGCCAGAGCACAGAAUGCAGCCAAGCAGACUGGCUGUUGGCAUGGCAACAGGGGUCCAUGAUGCUUUGAAGGCUGAGGGAGGGCCUAGAGCAUCCUUAACCAAUAAAACUGGCCAAGCGAGGGCUGAACAAAUCAGAUGGGACCUGAAAGCAUACUUUGUGGCGGAAAAGGGAAACCUGGAAAAUGUCCCAAGUACUCAGCCCCUUUUUGGGUUUUUUCACUAACACCCGGAGAGCAGGGCAAGGGGGGACUGAGCGGCAGCAGCUGACACUGGGGAGUAGGUCACAAUGAAAAAGGCCCUCCCCGCACAUUCCCUCACCUGAGACCCGAAAACAACCCCGAGAGAGUCAGAGGUGAUCACAUCACUCCAGGCCACACUCAGGGAAAAGGACUCAGAGAACUGAGGAUGCCUCCGAAACAGGAGGCCAGGACAAGGCAGGACCAGCGCUGCUUCGGGCCCUGACGCUAGCCUUCCAGGCCCUGUGCCGCACUGGGUUCCUUCCAUAGAAAGACAGACUGCUCCCCUCCGAUCCCCCCAAAACGAACAGGGAAGGCCAGAGAGAGAGAGGAGCACUAGACACGUCAACCCAAAUGAAACCAAGAGAAAGCUGUGAUUCCCAAACAAGGCGCGUCCCUCGCUGGGUCCCUUAUACAUAUAGAGACUUCAGGGGCACUCUGAACAGGAUACAACACGAUACAAUUCAGUCGAUACAAUUCAAUUCAAAUGACUUCAGCCUCAUUUCCUCCAAGCCCCAGGCCACUCGCCCCACAGUCAGGAAAUCGCAGUCCACUUACCCUAUACUUAUGAAGUCUCCUUUGCUGACGUUGUCGGGUUCGAUGCAGAUGUUCAUAAAGUCUUCUGUGCUCUGAGAGGUUGGAAGAUAAACAUCAGUGCUCUAAAUUGUGGCUACUGCAGCCUGCUGUCGCCUUUGAGACCCACAGGUUCACAUUUCAAAGCUGUGUAUUAAUUAUGCAGGGGACUUUUAGCAACUUAACCUUUUCCUUUUACAUUAAGACGUUUAUUGAGGUAUAAUUUACAUACCACAAAAUUC